ACGAACGCUGGCGGCCUGCCUAACACCUGCAAGUCGAACGAGACCUUCGGGUCUAGUGGCGCACGGGUGCGUAACGCGUGGGAACCUGCCCUUAGGUUCGGAAUAACUCCCCGAAAGGGGUGCUAAUACCGGAUAAUGUCUUCGGACCAAAGAUUUAUCGCCUUUGGAUGGGCCCGCGUUGGAUUAGCUAGUUGGUAGGGUAAAAGCCUACCAAGGCGACGAUCCAUAGCUGGUCUGAGAGGAUGAUCAGCCACACUGGGACUGAGACACGGCCCAGACUCCUACGGGAAGCAGCAGUGGGGAAUAUUGGACAAUGGGCGAAAGCCUGAUCCAGCAAUGCCGCGUGAGUGAUGAAGGCCUUAGGGUUGUAAAGCUCUUUUACCCGGGAUGAUAAUGACAGUACCGGGAGAAUAAGCUCCGGCUAACUCCGUG
rnacentral:rRNA from 1 species